AUUGAACGCUGGCGGCAUGCCUUACACAUGCAAGUCGAACGGCAGCGGGGGAGAAGCUUGCUUUUCCUGCCGGCGAGUGGCGAACGGGUGAGUAAUACAUCGGAACGUGCCCUGUAGUGGGGGAUAACUAGUCGAAAGAUUAGCUAAUACCGCAUACGACCUGAGGGUGAAAGUGGGGGACCGCAAGGCCUCAUGCUAUAGGAGCGGCCGAUGUCUGAUUAGCUAGUGGGUGGGGUAAAGGCCUACCAAGGCGACGAUCAGUAACUGGUCUGAGAGGACGAUCAGCCACACUGGGACUGAGACACGGCCCAGACUCCUACGGGAGGCAGCAGUGGGGAAUUUUGGACAAUGGGCGAAAGCCUGAUCCAGCAAUGCCGCGUGUGAGAAGAAGGCCUUCGGGUUGUAAAGCACUUUUGUCCGGAAAGAAAUGGCUCUGGUUAAUACCUGGGGUCGAUGACGGUACCGGAAGAAUAAGGACCGGCUAACUACGUGCCAGCAGCCGCGGUAA
rnacentral:rRNA from 1 species